CUGGUUUCACAUGGUGCCAUAGAUGAAUUCUGGCUGAGUCUAGCACCAUUUGAAAUCAGUGU
rnacentral:pre_miRNA from 1 species